rnacentral:rRNA from 1 species
UACAGAGGUCUCAAGCGUUGUUCGGAUUCAUUGGGCGUAAAGGGUGCGUAGGUGGCGCGCUAAGUCAGGUGUGAAAUUUCGGAGCUUAAUUCCGAAACUGCAUUUGAUACUGGCGUGCUUGAGGACUGGAGAGGAGACUGGAAUUCAUGGUGUAGCAGUGAAAUGCGUAGAGAUCAUGAGGAAGACCAGUGGCGAAGGCGGGUCUCUGGACAGUUCCUGACACUGAGGCACGAAGGCCAGGGGAGCAAACGGG